UCUAAUUAAGGAGGGGGAGUAUAAAAAAACUAAAUAAUUUGGCAGUUUAACUUUCAUCUUAGGGGAGUUUGCUCUAUUAUGGAAGGUACCCCUUGGAAUUUACUUUGUCUUUUCUUUAUAUACCUCCGUCUUUAUCUUUAUUAUGAUAGAAAUACUGGAGUGGUAAUAAGUCAGGUCAAGGUGUAGGUUGGCGAAGGUUGAGGUGAGCUACAUUCAAUUGUUUGAGACGGAUUUUGGGAAGAAUUAUAAAUUAAGGUGGACUUAUGCGUAAAAUUUGAUUAUGUGUGUUUAUUUGAGAUUGAUCUGUUGG
rnacentral:rRNA from 1 species